rnacentral:tRNA from 1 species
GAGGGUAUAGCUCAGUGGUAGGGUGCGGGUCUCGCAUGCACAGGGUCCUGGGUUCAAUCCCCAGUACCUCCA